rnacentral:rRNA from 1 species
CUUGGUCAUUUAGAGGAGUAAAAGUCGUAACAAGGUUUCCGUAGGUGAACCUGCGGAAGGAUCAUUAAUGUAACCGGACCGGUCCUCUGCCGUCAAACGCAGCGGAUGGGAAUGGGAGAUAUCAUACACCCCUAUGUUUAUUUACUUUUGUUGCUUUGGCGGGCCGUCCUUUUAGGCGUCGGCCCCGGCUGAUCGCGCCCGCCAGAGGACCCAAACUCUUUUAUCAGUGAUGUCUAAGUACUAUAUAAUAGUUAAAACUUUCAACAACGGAUCUCUUGGUUCUGGCAUCGAUGAAGAACGCAGCGAAAUGCGAUAAGUAAUGUGAAUUGCAGAAUUCAGUGAAUCAUCGAAUCUUUGAACGCACAUUGCGCCCGCUGGUAUUCCGGCGGGCAUGCCUGUUCGAGCGUCAUUAUGACCAAUCAAGCUCUGCUUGGCCUUGGGGCCCGCUGUACCGGCGGCCCUUAAAAUCAGUGGCGGUGCCGUCUGGCUCUAAGCGUAGUAAUACUUCUCGCUACAGGGUUCAGCCGUCCACCCGCCAGAACCCCCAACUUUCUUAGGUUGACCUCGGAUCAGGUAGGGAUACCCGCUGAACUUAAGCAUAUCAAUAAGCGGAGGAA